UUGACCUCAAAUCAGAUAGGACUACCCGCUGAACUUAAGCAUAUCAAUAAGCGGAGGAAAAGAAACUAACAAGGAUUCCCUUAGUAACUGCGAGUGAAGUGGGAAAAGCUCGAGGUUAAAAUCUGGCCGUGGGUGACUG
rnacentral:rRNA from 1 species